GACGAACGCUGGCGGCGUGCUUAACACAUGCAAGUCGAACGGAAAGGCCCUGCUUUUGUGGGGUGCUCGAGUGGCGAACGGGUGAGUAACACGUGAGUAACCUGCCCUUGACUUUGGGAUAACUUCAGGAAACUGGGGCUAAUACCGGAUAGGAGCUCCUGCUGCAUGGUGGGGGUUGGAAAGUUUCGGCGGUUGGGGAUGGACUCGCGGCUUAUCAGCUUGUUGGUGGGGUAGUGGCUUACCAAGGCUUUGACGGGUAGCCGGCCUGAGAGGGUGACCGGCCACAUUGGGACUGAGAUACGGCCCAGACUCCUACGGGAGGCAGCAGUGGGGAAUAUUGCACAAUGGGCGGAAGCCUGAUGCAGCAACGCCGCGUGCGGGAUGACGGCCUUCGGGUUGUAAACCACUUUCGCCUGUGACGAAGCGUGAGUGACGGUAAUGGGGAAAGAAGCACCGGCUAACUACGU
rnacentral:rRNA from 1 species